rnacentral:rRNA from 1 species
AGCGGCAGACGGGUGAGUAACACGUAGAUAACCUGCCCUCAAGACGGGGACAACCGGUGGAAACAGCGGCUAAUACCCGAUAUGCUCACAGGAUCGGGAGAUCGAGUGAGGAAAGCGCCCCUUCGGGGGAGAGUGUUUGAGGAGGGAUCUGCGGCCCAUCAGCUAGUUGGUGAGGUAACGGCUCACCAAGGCGAAGACGGGUAGGGGGUGUGAGAGCAUGGCCCCCCACAAUGGGACUGAGACACGGCCAUACUCCUACGGGAGGCAGCAGCGGGGAAUAUUGCGCAAUGGACGGAAGUCAGACGCAGCGACGCCGCGUGGGCGAGGAAGGCCUUCGGGUUGUAAAGCCCUUUUCAGGGGAGCGAGAAAGGACGGUACCCUUGGAAUAAGCGUCGGCUAACUACGUGCCAGCAGCCGCGGUAAGACGUAGGACGCAAGCGUUAUCCGGAUUUACUGGGCGUAAAGCGCCUGUAGGCGGUCAAGUAAGUCGGAUGUGAAAGCCCCGUGCUCAACGCGGGGAAGCCAUUCGAUACUGCGUGACUAGAGAACGGCAGAGGGAAACGGAAUUUCUGGUGUAGCGGUAAAAUGCGCAGAGAUCAGAAAGAACACCGAUGGCGAAGGCAGUUUCCUAGGCCGCAUCUGACGCUGAGAGGCGAAAGCUAGGGGAGCAAACAGGAUUAGAGACCCUGGUAGUCCUAGCUGUAAACGAUGGAUGCUAGGUGUGGGCCGGAAAGGUCCGUGCCGUAGUUAACGCGAUAAGCAUCCCGCCUGGGGAGUACGGCCGCAAGGCUAAAACUCAAACGAAUUGACGGGGACCCGCACAAGCAGCGGAGCGUGUGGUUUAAUUCGAUGCUACACGCAGAACCUUACCUGGGCUUGACAUGUAGGUGGUAGUGAAGUGAAAGCGGAGCGACCCUUCGGGGAGCCUACACAGGUGCUGCAUGGCUGUCGUCAGCUCGUGCCGUGAGGUGUCGGGUUAAGUCCCGUAACGAGCGCAACCCUUGUCCUUAGUUACAAGUGUCUAAGGAGACUG